AGCGAACGCUGGCGGCAGGCCUAACACAUGCAAGUCGAGCGGCCGUAGCAAUACGGCAGCGGCAGACGGGAGAGUAACACGUGGGAACGUACCCUUUGGUUCGGAACAACCCAGGGAAACUUGGGCUAAUACCGGAUAAGUCCGUAAGGAGAAAGAUUUAUCGCCAAAGGAUCAGCCCGCGUCUGAUUAGCUAGUUGGUGAGGUAAUGGCUCACCAAGGCGACGAUCAGUAGCUGGUCUGAGAGGAUGAUCAGCCUCACUGGGACUGAGACACGGCCCAGACUCCUACGGGAGGCAGCAGUGGGGAAUAUUGGACAAUGGGCGCAAGCCUGAUCCAGCCAUGCCGCGUGGAUGAUGAAGGCCCUAGGGUUGUAAAGUCCUUUCGGCGGGGAAGAUAAUGACGGCACCCGCAGAAGAAGCCCCGGCUAACUUCGUGCCAGCCGCCGCCAUAA
rnacentral:rRNA from 1 species